AUUUCCCAAAUGUGGCCUUGGGUUUUCAGGAGCCCAGUAGUGACUUCUGUGGUCCCUGACUUGCACCCUCACCCUAUUAUUGGAGUUGUGCUUCAUUUCUCUGUGUGGAAAGAGUGAAGUAUUGGGAAAUAUGACCCUGGUCACCAAACCAACUCAGAGACAGCAAGUGCUUUGGCAAAGGAAAGGGCUGGCACAGAGAACAGAGUCGAUUUCUCAUUGUCUUCACCAAUCUUCUGAACCCGUGAAUACUUUUUGCAUGAUGAUUUGAAGCAGCCAGGAGGCCAAGACAGCGGCCAGGAGAAGCAGCAAGGAAUUGAGCCUUGUACAUUUUUCUCAAAAAAAUAAAAGAUGGGGAACCACCAUGCUCGAGAUAAGAAAUUAGUCUGUGAAGAGACCUUCAAGUUCUGUAAAUGAGCCCCCAGCUAUCAAUACAUUACAGCAGGAUGAGAAAGACCCAGGCCUUUGACAUCCCAGGCUUUGACAGGCCCAGGCUUGACAGUGUCUUGGCACAAUGUUGUGGGAAGAAUAAGCACAAUGAAGAGGUGCCUCAGGAAGAGGACACACUCAGCCACCCACCUCAUGGGACUGCUAUGAGAAUGACUGAAAUAAUUAAUUGUGAAGAGCUUUGUGCCCCUGGGAGUAAGAACACUAUGACACAACUGGAGAAACUGGUUAUUUUACCAAGGCUUAGGCUGGAAUGGUGUGCUUUCCUUUAAAGAAUCAAACUUGACUUAUGGAGCCAAUAAAAGCCUCUUGGGAAAA
rnacentral:lncRNA from 1 species